rnacentral:rRNA from 1 species
CGUCGUUAAUAGCGGCGUUGUUUGACGUUAGCGACAGAAGAAGCACCGGCUAACUCCGUGCCAGCAGCCGCGGUAAUACGGAGGGUGCGAGCGUUAAUCGGAAUUACUGGGCGUAAAGCGCAUGCAGGUGGUUUGUUAAGUCAGAUGUGAAAGACCCGGGGCUCAACCUCGGAAUUGCAUUUGAAACUGGCAGACUAGAGUACUGUAGAGGGGGGUAGGAAUUUCAGGUGUAGCGGUGAAAUGCGUAGAGAUCUGAAGGAAUACCGGUGGCGAAGGCGGCCCCCUCGGACAGAUACUGACACUCAGAUGCGAAAGCGUGGGGAGCAAACAGGAUUAGAUACCCUGGUAG